rnacentral:rRNA from 1 species
GACAGAGGGUGCAACCGUUGCUCGGAAUCACUGGGCGUAAAGGGCGUGUAGGCGGGAAUGUAAGUCGGGCGUGAAAGCCCCAGGCUCAACCUGGGAACUGCACUCGAAACUGCGUUUCUUGAGUAUCGGAGAGGAAAGCGGAAUACCUGGUGUAGAGGUGAAAUUCGUAGAUAUCAGGUGGAACACCAGUGGCGAAGGCGGCUUUCUGGACGAUUACUAACGCUGAGACGCGAAAGCGUGGGGAGCAAACAGG